UACGUAGGGUGCAAGCGUUAUCCGGAAUUAUUGGGCGUAAAGAGCUCGUAGGCGGUUUGUCGCGUCUGCUGUGAAAACUGGAGGCUCAACCUCCAGCCUGCAGUGGGUACGGGCAGACUAGAGUGCGGUAGGGGAGAUUGGAAUUCCUGGUGUAGCGGUGGAAUGCGCAGAUAUCAGGAGGAACACCGAUGGCGAAGGCAGAUCUCUGGGCCGUAACUGACGCUGAGGAGCGAAAGCGUGGGGGAGCGAACAGG
rnacentral:rRNA from 1 species